rnacentral:rRNA from 1 species
UUCCUACGGGGUGCAGCAGUAGGGAAUCCCGCCAAAUGGACGAAAGUCUGACGGAGCAACGCCGCGUGAGUGAUGAAGGCUUUCGGGUCGUAAAACUCUGUUGUUAGGGAAGAACAAGUACAAGAGUAACUGCUUGUACCUUGACGGUACCUAACCAGAAAGCCACGGCUAACUACGUGCCAGCAGCCGCGGUAAUACGUAGGUGGCAAGCGUUAUCCGGAAUUAUUGGGCGUAAAGCGCGCGCAGGCGGUUUCUUAAGUCUGAUGUGAAAGCCCACGGCUCAACCGUGGAGGGUCAUUGGAAACUGGGGAACUUGAGUGCAGAAGAGAAAAGCGGAAUUCCACGUGUAGCGGUGAAAUGCGUAGAGAUGUGGAGGAACACCAGUGGCGAAGGCGGCUUUUUGGUCUGUAACUGACGCUAGGCGCGAAAGCGUGAGCAAACAGGAUUAGAUACCCCGUAGUCAGAA